AGCAGCCGCGGUAAUUCCAGCUCCAAUAGCGUAUAUUAAAGUUGCUGCAGUUAAAAAGCUCGCAGUUGAAUUUCGGGACCAAUAUGUCGGUCGUGCCUCGGUACGUACUGGCAUUAUUGGUUUCUCCCUUCUGAAGAACCUUGAUGUCAUUAAUUUGGUGUCUUGGGGAAUCAGGACUGUUACUUUGAAAAAAUUAGAGUGUUUAAAGCAGGCUCGCGCUUGAAUACAUUAGCAUGGAAUAAUGAAAUAGGACGUUUGAUUCUAUUUUGUUGGUUUCUAGGAUCGACGUAAUGAUUAAUAGGGAUAGUUGGGGGCAUUAGUAUUCAAUUGUCAGAGGUGAAAUUCUUGGAUUUAUUGAAGACUAACUACUGCGAAAGCAUUUGCCAAGGAUGUUUUCAUUAAUCAAGAACGAAAGUUAGGGGAUCGAAGACGAUCAGAUACCGUCGUAGUCUUAACCAUAAACUAUGCCGACUAGGGAUCGGAUGAUGUUAAUUUUUUAAUGACUCAUUCGGCGCCUUACG
rnacentral:rRNA from 1 species